rnacentral:rRNA from 1 species
AUACAGAGGGUGCGAGCGUUAAUCGGAUUUACUGGGCGUAAAGCGUGCGUAGGCGGCUGUUUAAGUCGGAUGUGAAAUCCCUGAGCUUUACUUAGGAAUUGCAUUCGAUACUGGGAAGCUAGAGUAUGGGAGAGGAUGGUAGAAUUCCAGGUGUAGCGGUGAAAUGCGUAGAGAUCAGGAGGAAUACCGAUGGCGAAGGCAGCCAUCUGGCCUAAUACUGACGCUGAGGUACGAAAGCAUGGGGAGCAAACAGGAUUAGAAACCCUUGUAGUCC